CGCGGUUGUCCGCAGUUCGACACUCUGGUGUGGGAGUGGAAGACGCGAGUGUGAAGACAACACCCCCUUCCCCCGUGUAUUUCCUGCUUUUUCUUUCUUUCGCGUCUUAGUGAGUUGGUAAAGGGUAACGGAGGAAGGCGAAUAAAAGAUAAAUACAAAUAGAAAAAAUGUUUAUAUAAUCGGUCUGUAAAGUAAGCUAGUUAGCGACAUGGUACACAAGACAAAGUUAGUGAGGACCUUUUUCUUCACUCUGGAUUUAGGAGGACUCCAGCCGUUCAGGUACGCUGGAUUCUUCUGAUACUGACUUAAGAGUGUCCCUGGUGUCCAGCAGGCUGAAGAUCAACAUCUGGUACGCUGGAUUCUUCUGAUACCCACUCAAAUGUGUCUCUGGUGUCCAGCAGGCUGAAGAUCGACAUCUGCAGCCAUGAUGGAUGCUCUGAUGCUGGUGGAGAGACGUGAGGUCAGCGAGGAUUCACCUUCAAGAACGGCUGGAGGGGCUUGACAGUGGGAGGUGCUGUAUUCAGCUGACAUGAUGAUGCUGCUCAUCUUCAUCUCCAGCUGUGUGGGUGGAGCAGCAGCAGAGGUGGAGGCUGAGGAUGGUGUGGAUGAUCAGUCUGUGUUUCUCAGUGUGAUGCAGAGCUGCUUCUUACUGAACUCGACCCUGCAGAGCACUGAGGGCGUCCUGUCCAGCUUCAGGACCACCUGGCAGGAGUUGGUGGAGGACCUGGGUUUCUGCUGGUCAUCGCCCUCCUCUCCCUGGGCCUCGUCUACUACGUCAGCAGAGUCCUGCCUUUCUCAGGGUGGAGAGGAGGCAGGAAAAUAAAUUAAGCUCUUUAUCUAGAACAAAAACUCUGUCUGUGUGUGUCAGUGCGAUGGAGGGUCACUCCUUACUGAACCCGACCCUGCAGAGCACUGAGGGCGUCCUGUCCAGCUUCAGGACCACCUGGCAGGAGUUUGUGGAGGACCUGGGCUUCUGGAGGGUCCUGCUGCUGUUGGUGGUCAUCGCCCUCCUCUCCCUGGGCAUCGCCUACCACGUCAGCAGAGUCCUGCCUUUCUCAGGGUGGAGAGGAGGCAGGAAAAUAGAUGAAGAUCUUUAUCUAGAACAAAAACUCUGGUAUUUAUUUGUUGUGCAAAUCUGAUCAUUUUAUUGGAAUAUGAACAUCAUGUGAUGCUGCCAGCGCAAAGAAGAGAGGACGGUGACUCGGAGACACCGACAGCUUCAUGUGUGACCUAACACCUUUACAACCACUCACUGAUAAAGUCAUUUCCUCUUCCUCACACUUGUCAUGUCAUCCCCGUUUGCUCUGUUACAAGGUGUAUAUUACUGAUGUUUUGUAUCUUUUCAUUGUUUUCUCCUCGCUUUUUAUGGAUUCAAAUGUUCUUUUAGAAUGAAUUUUUCCCCCCGCUGUCUUUAUUUCACACAAAUACCUGCAGCCUUUCUGACUGGAAACAGUUUUGUCAGGAUAUCUUGAUGUUCUCUGUUCAAAGGUUUUCAGUGUUUAUUCCAUCAAACAUUUCAAGUCAUUUAAUGUGCAAAUUGAAUAAAAUCAUGAAUGACUGUAA